AUAUGAAGUCGGGCCUGCCCAGUGAAUUUUAAACGGCCGCGGUAUCCUAACUGUGCAAAGGUAGCAUAAUCAUUUGCCUUAUAAUUGAAGGCUGGAAUGAAUGGUUUGACAAGAAUAUAACUGUCUCUUAUUGAUUAUUUAGAAUUUUAUUUCUGAAUGAAAAAGUUCAGAUGCUAUUAAAAGACAAGAAGACCCUAUCGAGCUUUAGAAAAAUUAGUAGACUUAAUAAUAACAAAUAUAAAUAAAAGAAUAGCUAUUAAAUAUUUUGGUUGGGGCAACCUAGGAGUAAAUAAAGCCUCCUAUUAAAUUAUAAAGACAAACUUGUGUUGAUCCAAAGUUUUUGAUUAAAGGAAUUAGUUACCGUAGGGAUAACAGCAUUAUCUUUUUUAAGAGACCAUAUCGAAAAAAAGGUUUGUGACCUCGAUGUUGGACCAGAAUAUCCUAAAGAUGUAGAAGUCUUUAAGGGUUGGUCUGUUCGACCAUUAAAAUUCUA
rnacentral:rRNA from 1 species